GGUCAGCUGACACAUCCCUGCCAAUCUCCGGCAGACCCUCCCUCCCAGACCCUCCUACUUCCUGGACAGCAUCCAUGUUGAAGGCAGCUUCAACAUGGAUGCUGUCCAGGAGGUGGGAGGGUCUGGGAGGGAGGGUCUCGGAGAUUGGCAGGGAUGUGUUCCGGA